CUCCGCCGGGUAAGCGGCAAUCUGCGGGUCGACGAUUCGAGUCCCGCGCGCGUUCGAAAGACGACGGUGCGUUAGGUGCGUGCACGCGUAUUUCUCUGCCGCGCGGUUUCGCGCUCAAACGUCGCGGGCGCGCCGGUGUGUCAUGUGGAUUUACGUCGCGUCGCCGAGGACGGACGGAGCGACUUGGAGACGUCGAACGACGGCGACAUCGGCGACGGGGGAGAGAUAUCGAUACUAUGAGGCCUCACGAAUGGAUGCGUAGCACAUCCCGAAACAGAUUCGAAGGCACUGGUACGGUCCAGUCAAAUGAAUGGACGUAUGGAAGGGCUCGAUACGAAUCUAAAGAAGUUCGUGCUCCACGGUUUAUUUCGGCGAGAUAAACACGGGUUCCGGGGUGGGAGAGCUAACCACCGCCUCGGCGGGGGGUGGUGGCGAAGGUCUCGCCCCGACUCCAACCCCCGCCAACGGCAGCAACAGCAGUGGCAGCAGCGUUAGUACCACCACCCCCAGCAGCCUGAGCACCGCUACAACUACGACUACCACCUCCACUACCAGCAUCGCUACCAUCCUGCAGGUUGCAACGGGGGCUGAACCGCCCCGGCACAUGGAGACACCCCCGACGAUGAUCCCCGACCAGCAGGCACCCGCCUCCGGCCAUCACUAUCACCAUCAUCAUCAUCAUCAUCAUCAUCAUCGACAUCACCGUAGUACGUCUACGACUAGCCAUGAACCGGCAACAAACACCCCGGACGAGUUCGCACGGAAGCGAAAGCUGUCUUGCCAUGCUGGAAGCGAUCUCCUGGACGAUCUGAGGGACGAUGCCAAAUCUAUUCGCACAAAUGACGACAGUAAAAAAUCCCGAAUUCACGUAGAUCAAAUCUUCCCAAAAAAUCCGCUGAAGUUGACGAGAUGUGUGUUAUUAUACCAUAUCAUUCUCACCGGUAGCUUGGCACGAUUCCGAUCUUGUUUGCAUGGAACGACGAUGGCAAUAGGAUUCCGCGCAAUUAACGCAACGAAGGUACAGAACCACAGUGAAAUUGAAAAACGCAGGAGAGACAAAAUGAACACGUACAUCACCGAGCUCUCGGCGAUGGUGCCAAUGUGUCACGCGAUGUCGCGAAAGCUGGACAAGUUGACCGUGCUGCGAAUGGCGGUGCAGCAUCUCAAAACCAUCCUUGGUGCGGUUACUUCAUAUACGGAAGGUCACUAUAAACCUGCGUUUCUCAGUGAUCAGGAACUCAAGACGCUCAUACUUCAAGCCGCGGAGGGCUUUGUCUUUGUAGUGGGCUGCGAUCGCGGAAGAAUUCUCUACGUUUCCGAAUCCGUCUCGCAAACUCUCAAUUAUUCUCAGGGUGACUUGUUGGGUCAAAGCUGGUUCGACAUUCUGCAUCCGAAGGAUGUCGCUAAAGUAAAGGAGCAGCUCUCGUCCUCCGAUCUCAGUCCGAGGGAGCGAUUGAUCGAUGCGAAAACGAUGUUACCGGUAAAAACCGACGUGCCCCAAGGAGUAUCACGACUUUGUCCUGGUGCGCGAAGAUCCUUCUUUUGUCGGAUGAAGCGUAAAGUCGAUGGGGUCCGUUGCGAUGAGAUGCAGGUGAAAGAGGAAGUCGACACUACCACUGGCUGCCACAGGCGGAAGAAGCAGCAAAACGUAGAUCGGAAGUAUUGCGUAAUUCAAUGCACGGGUUAUCUAAAAUCCUGGGCACCUGCAAAGAUCGGUCUCGAAGAGCAGGAGGGCGAGGCCGACGGUGAAGCUUGCAAUUUGUCUUGCCUGAUCGCAGUCGGUCGGGUUCAAAUGGCAAUAUCGACGACAACAUUGCCGUCGAGGAAGCCCCAUUUGAGACCCAUACAAUUCGUCUCGCGACAUGCGAUGGAUGGCAAAUUUCUGUUUGUGGACCAAAGAGCUACUCCAGUAUUGGGCUUUCUACCUCAAGAACUACUGGGCACCAGUAUGUACGAAUACUAUCACCACGAUGAUAUUCCCCAUCUAGCAGAGUCUCACAAAGCCGCGUUGCAGACCCCCGAGCGCAUUACGACGCAGAUCUAUAGGUUCAGAAGUAAGGAUGCGAAUUUUGUCAGACUGCAAUCCGAGUGGAAGUCCUUCAGAAAUCCAUGGACCAAAGACAUCGAGUAUUUAAUCGCCAAGAAUUCUGCUAUCUUUUGCGAUGCGUUGAGUGGAAAUAACGGAUCCGAGGAUUCGAGCGUGCAGGACAACUAUGAUUACUUUACGCAGAGUAAUGAUGGAUUAGAGAGACUAAUCUCGAGCCACGUGGAGGUAAGUAAGAUCGGUCGGCAGAUAGCGGAAGAAGUACUGGACCUACAAAAACGCGGGGAAGAUUCUUCCUCGGGUAGUAGUCCUGGUCCAGCUGUGACAGAGCCCGCUUUAUUAAACACCGAGUCGCAAAUCACGACGACGACAUCGCCGGAGAGGGUACCCGACGUGUCCCGGACAGGUGGCAUCAGCAACGACAAUUGUAGCAACAAUCCCACAUCAACGUUCAACCAUGUAGCGAACAACGUGCAGCUCAACAGCAUCGCGAAUGACCAAGGAGCGUCACCAGACGAAGACAUGAUGGAUAUGAUUGGUGGCACUGCGAUUAAUGAGUCGCCAAAUCCGAUCCCGUCUGAUGGCAACGACGAGGCAGCGAUGGCUGUCAUUAUGAGCCUGCUGGAGGCGGACGCGGGCCUAGGUGGUCCUGUGGAUUUUUCCGGAUUGCCUUGGCCGUUGCCAUAGUGUUGUACACAUAUUUUAGAAUGCGGAUAUUAGACGUUUUGAUCAAAAUGCUCGAAAUAAGACUUGGUGCUGAAAAAAGGUGCUUGGAUGUUCGGCGAGGUAAUUUGCGAUAAUCAACAACGAGAAAUGGACAAAUGCUGAAAUCCCAUAUCAAAAAGUAUACUGUGGUGAUGCGGACAAUAUAGUGUGAAUAAUAAUUACGUUUUAGUGACAAAUUGACGUUAUAUGUGUAAAUACAUGGCACGUGUGUACGUAUGCGUGUAAUAUAACGUUUAAGUGUACCUAAUUAAAUUGUAAGAAUAUCUGUUCGGAGAAUAUCUGUUCUGAGGAGGCUUUUAUCUAAUCGAAUGAAAUGUCUGCGCGCAAUUUUCGAAGCAGUUCUUCCUAAAAAUUUCGAAAAAAAUCGAUAUUUGCUGAAAUGUGUUGCAAGUGCUCGCGUUUAAUUUGUGUGAACGUGCUAUUGUAAAAAUAAAAAAGUAUGAACAUUUAUACUUUACUAUAUGCAUUUGCAUGCGCAAAUAAUAAAUUGGAAAAUUAUAAAAGACAUUUUUUUGUAACGCGGAAUAAUGAACUCAUCGCGCAAGCAAUCGCAUGUUAUUUUCGGUAGACUCUUCAUUUUGUACGUUAUUUUUAAAUGCCAAAUGAUGCCGAAAAUAUCGAUAUAUGAAUUGAACAAAGAUCACACCAUCAAAUAAAUUGUAAAUAAGCUUAAUUUUUCCAGUACUUUGUAAUUGAAAAAAGAAGAUAAAAACAGCAAUUAAUUAGCUUCUCAAAGUUUGUGAUUUUUUUAAAACUAUAUAAUAGUUUCUUCUUAAGUAAUAUUGUUAGUCAUUAAUGAAUGGAUGAAAAACAAUCACAAAGUACAAACGAUCUCGAAAAUAAAACUUUUAAACUUGGUGGACGUAUAGGAUAAGAGAUUUUUUUUUAUUCAUUAUGCAAAUCGCUUUUCGGAUUAUCGAGCUAGAAACGCAAUACACUAUCUGUCAUAAAGUUUGAUUUAUAACAUUUGUCUUACGAGAAGUACUAGAACUAUAUAUCUAAUGCCGCAUUUUAUUUUGCCAUGACGCACGAUUUUCAAAUCAACAAUAAUAUUAUAAUAAUAUAUUUAUAAAAAACGCAAAUGGAACGUGCUAAAGUAAUAUAAGAAUUCUAAUGUAAAUAAUAUAUAUGACAUUCUGCUGUAAUUUAUUGUCCAACAUUAAAAAAAAGUGAUAAAUAUUUACAUCUUGAUACGUUGACUAUUCAGUAUGAAUAAAUCUUGUAUGUAAAUUCUCUCUCUUUUUUGUUUCGGAUUA
rnacentral:misc_RNA from 1 species